rnacentral:rRNA from 1 species
GAUGAACGCUGGCGGCGUGCUUAACACAUGCAAGUCGAACGGAAAGGCUCCUGCUUGCAGGGGUACUCGAGUGGCGAACGGGUGAGUAACACGUGGGUGAUCUGCCCUGCACUUCGGGAUAAGCCUGGGAAACUGGGUCUAAUACCGGAUAGGACCACAUUUUGGAUGGUGUGGUGGAAAGUUUUUCGGUGUGGGAUGAGCUCGCGGCCUAUCAGCUUGUUGGUGGGGUAAUGGCCUACCAAGGCGUCGACGGGUAGCCGGCCUGAGAGGGUGUACGGCCACAUUGGGACUGAGAUACGGCCCAGACUCCUACGGGAGGCAGCAAUGGGGAAUAUUGCACAAUGGGCGCAAGCCUGAUGCAGCGACGCCGCGUGGGGGAUGACGGCCUUCGGGUUGUAAACUCCUGUCGCUAGGGACGAAGCGUUUUUGUGACGGUACCUGGAGAAGAAGCACCGGCUAACUACGUG